rnacentral:rRNA from 1 species
ACGCUGGCGGCAGGCCUAACACAUGCAAGUCGAGCGGUAGAAAGAAGCUUGCUUCUCUUGAGAGCGGCGGACGGGUGAGUAAUGCCUAGGAAUCUGCCUGGUAGUGGGGGAUAACGUUCGGAAACGGACGCUAAUACCGCAUACGUCCUACGGGAGAAAGCAGGGGACCUUCGGGCCUUGCGCUAUCAGAUGAGCCUAGGUCGGAUUAGCUAGUUGGUGGGGUAAUGGCUCACCAAGGCGACGAUCCGUAACUGGUCUGAGAGGAUGAUCAGUCACACUGGAACUGAGACACGGUCCAGACUCCUACGGGAGGCAGCAGUGGGGAAUAUUGGACAAUGGGCGAAAGCCUGAUCCAGCCAUGCCGCGUGUGUGAAGAAGGUCUUCGGAUUGUAAAGCACUUUAAGUUGGGAGGAAGGGCAUUAACCUAAUACGUUAGUGUUUUGACGUUACCGACAGAAUAAGCACCGGCUAACUCUGUGCCAGCAGCCGCGGUAAUACAGAGGGUGCAAGCGUUAAUCGGAAUUACUGGGCGUAAAGCGCGCGUAGGUGGUUUGUUAAGUUGGAUGUGAAAUCCCCGGGCUCAACCUGGGAACUGCAUUCAAAACUGACUGACCAGAGUAUGGUAGAGGGUGGUGGAAUUUCCUGUGUAGCGGUGAAAUGCGUAGAUAUAGGAAGGAACACCAGUGGCGAAGGCGACCACCUGGACUAAUACUGACACUGAGGUGCGAAAGCGUGGGGAGCAAAC